UACGUAGGGUGCAAGCGUUGUCCGGAAUUAUUGGGCGUAAAGAGCUCGUAGGUGGCGGGUCACGUCGGGUGUGAAAGCCCGGGGCUUAACCCCGGGUCUGCAUUCGAUACGGGCUUGCUAGGGUCCGGCAGGGGAGACUGGAAUUCCUGGUGUAGCGGUGAAAUGCGCAGAUAUCAGGAGGAACACCGGUGGCGAAGGCGGGUCUCUGGGCCGGUACCGACGCUGAGGAGCGAAAGCGUGGGGAGCAAACAGG
rnacentral:rRNA from 1 species